GAUGAACGCUGGCGGCAGGCUUAAUACAUGCAAGUCGGAACGGUAACAUGUCGGAGCAAUCUGAUGAUGACGAGUGGCGCACGGGUGCGUAACGCGUAUGCAACCUACCCAUAACCGGAACAUAACGUUGAGAAAUCGGUCGCUAAUAUUCCAUGUGUAUAUUUUGUGGCAUCAUAGAAUAUAUAAAGAUUAAUUGGUUAUGGAUGGGCAUGCGUAUCAUUAGCUAGUUGGUGGGGUAACGGCCUACCAACGGCUGCGAUGAUUAGGGGUUCUGAGAGGAUAACCCCCCACACUGGAACUGAGACACGGUCCAGACUCCUACGGGAGGCAGCAGUAGGGAAUAUUGGGCAAUGGGGGCAACUCUGACCCAGCCAUGCCGCGUGAAGGAAGACGGUCCUAUGGAUUGGUUAAACUUCUUUUAUCAUAGAGUAACCGCAGGGACGUGUCCCUGCCUGCAAGUAUAUGAUGAAUAAGC
rnacentral:rRNA from 1 species